GUGGCAGGGGCGGCGGUAAUACGGAGGAGGCAAGCGUUGUCCGGAAUCACUGGGCGUAAAGGGUGUGUAGGUGUCCUGGUGGGUCAGGUGUGAAAUCCAACAGCUUAACUGUUGAACUGCAUCUGAAACUAUCGGGAUUGAGGACAUGAGGGGAGAGUGGAACUCGCGGUGUAGCGGUAGAAUGCGUGGAUAUCGCGAGGAAUGCCGAUGGCGAAGGCGGCUCUCUAGUGUGUUCCUCGUAUGAGGAGCUGGAUAGUUUCUAAUCUUCGGGUUAAUUGCUAUUCGGUCCUGACACUGAAACACGAAAGCUGGGGGAGCGAACGGGAUUAGAUACCCCGGUAGUCCCAGCCGUAAACGAUGUACACUUGGCAUGCGCCUUUAGGGUGUGUGCCGUAGGUAACCUGUUAAGUGUACCGCCUGGGGAGUAUGCUCGCAAGGGUGAAACUCAAAGGAAUUGACGGGGACCCGCACAAGCGGUGGAGGAUGUGGUUUAAUUCGAGGCAACGCGAAGAACCUUACCUGGGCUUGACAUGCUGGUAGUACUAAUCCGAAAGGUGAGGGAUUCCACCUCUGGUGGAAAGCCAGCACANGUGCUGCAUGGCUGUCGUCAGCUCGUGCCGUGAGGUGUUAGGUUAAGUCCUGCAACGAGCGCAACCCCUUCCCUUAGUUGCCAUUUUGUCUUCGGAUGAAGGCACUCUAAGGGGACUGCCGCAGAUAAUGUGGAGGAAGGCGGGGAUGAUGUCAAGUCAUCAUGGUCUUUAUGUCCAGGGCUACACACGUCCUACAGUGCCUACUACAACGGGAAGCAAGACCGUAAGGUGGAGCAAAUCCCCCAAAGGUAGGCAUGGUUCGGAUUGAGGGCUGCAAUUCGCCCUCAUGAAGGCGGAAUCGCUAGUAAUCGCAGAUCAGCUUGCUGUGGUGAAUACGUUCUCGGGUCUUGUACACACCGCCCGUCAAGCCAUGGAAGUCCACAAUACCUGAAGUCUCUCUUUGAGGGCCCAAGGUAGGGUGGAUGACUGGGGCUAAGUCGUAACAAGGUAACC
rnacentral:rRNA from 1 species